rnacentral:tRNA from 1 species
UGGUCUAGCGGUUAGAACGCUGGCCUUGUAAUCCUGUGGUCUCGGGUUCGAUUCCCGG